GUGGGUUUUAGGUUCUCUCCCAGUCUUGGCCCUCAUGGGUGGCUGCACUUUUCAAUUAAUAGUUCCAAACGGAAGUUUUUAAGUGGCAUUAGUUUGGCGUGAAUUUUAAAAGCAAGCAUGAGAGAUUUUCUUUGUUUUUGGAAGACUACCUAAUUUUGACAUCUAAGAGCUCAACAUUUACGGAUGAACCACAGAGUUUGAAGAUGUCGCAAAGGCACUCAGCCAGCCCUGGAGGAGGAAGUGAGGCGAGCUCUCCUGUCCAGUUCAAGUACUCCAGCCUCAGAGAUUUUUGUUCCACAUCUUCCUUUAAAGAUAGUGGCCAUCAUGAGUUGUCAAAAUUUUGCAGCUUUGAUAAUACAGAUAAAGAAUUUUUUGGAAAGCAAGAAAAGGACCCAAUGUUAAUCCACAAACACCCUGAAAUUUCAGACCUGGGCUCGAUACAUUCCCUAGAGUCUCCUACUCAAAGAAAUAAAUUUGUCUUCCCUAGGAAGGAAAAGGAUAAGACCCCAGAACUGUGUGAAACUCCUAAAAUUGGUGGAAAAAAAUCUUUACUGCGCAGAAGGUUAGAUGUAUCUUUCUCUCUUCUAAAGAAAGACUUUGAAUCACAAAACAGUUCUCAAAGUAGUAUAAGCCAAGUUCUCAACUUGGAAAAAUGUAUUCCUAACAGUGCUUCGGGUUUUCCAAGGCAAAAUAACUUUAGCCCUUUAGUUACUAGCAGUGUAAAAACAGAAGAAGUGAUUUCUAGCCGUCAAAAUUUAAGACUAAAUUUUUCUCAACACAAGACUUCCACAGUUGAUGAUUCCAAAGAUGAUGGUAGCCUAUUUGAAGUUGAAUGUAUAUCUCCAAUUCAGGGCAAUAAUUUUAAAGAUUCAAUCACACAUGACUUUAGUGAUAGCAGUUUAAGUGUUAAUGAUGAAAAUACAUAUCCUGAGCUUCUGGGCUCCUCUGGUAGUAGAACAACAUAUAGAAGAGAUGAAGACAUAUUUGUGACUCCAGUAAGUAAUUUUGCAGCAAACAUUAAAUUUGCUGCAAGUCAAACACUUUCUCCUUCAAUUGAGGUGAGAGGCAAUAUUUCCACUCCUGAAGACAGUGGUUUUAACUCACUGAGCUUGGAUAAGUCAGAAGAUUCCUUCUCUGAUCAGGAGGGUUCUUUUCAAGAACUACUUCAGAAAUAUAAAGGAACUCACAAUGUGGGAGAUACCAUAAGAAAAUCAGGGCGUCUUGGCAGGUCAAGAAGACUGUCCACUCUUCGGGAGCAAAGCUCACAGUCAGAGACAGAGGAGGAAAAGCAGGUCAUCCACCCCAACUCUGAAACAAGACCAGCGGCUGCUACAGACAUCUUGGAGAGUCAGCCGAGCACUGAUAGUAAGAGUAGGGAUUUGACUUUAAGCUUUAAGAAUUUAUCAAAGACCCCAGCCUUGCAAUUAGUGCACGAACUCUUUAUGAAAAGCAAAAGGAAAAGAUUCCAGGGAAAGAAUACCAAUGAAUUCUUAGAAGAAAGGGAUGGGGGGAAAAUAGCUGUACUGCAGUGUGCGCUUGCUGGACUGAUUGGCAAGAAGAUGGGUAUAGAACAACUGGACAUCUUGUCAGAAUUAAAAUAUAGAAAUUUAAAGCAUAUCCUUACUAUGGUUUUAGAUUUCUUGACUGCAGAGAGCCUAUACAGUGUUUGGAAAGUCAGCAGAAAUUGGUGUGAAAUUGUUGUUCAAGAUAAAAAAGCAAAUCGGAGGAGGAAAUGUUAUAUUACACAACUGAAAGCAAAUUCUGAGGAAGAUUCUUUGGCAACAGAUGUCUUCCUUGCGGACUAUUUUAAUGAAUUCCUAAGCCUUCCAACCUUUCCAGAGGCACUUAGGUUUAAUGUAGAUUAUGGAAUUUUUGAAGUAGUUAAUGAUGCUCCACAACUUCUGGAAAAGCAACUGAAAAAAAUUCUACAAAACCAACAACCUCGAAAUCCCAUCUAUGAUGUUGUGAGGAAAAGAAGGCAGGAUGUUGAACCUGUUCAAAUGAAUGUCCCCUGUGAAGAUAAGACCAUUAAUGUCAACUACAAUAUUAUGUGUCUUAAUCGGGAACAAGGUAUUAAAUGGAUCAAAAAAGAAAGACUUCCAGCAUUUCUGGAGAGUGAUUGCUACUUUGAAUACAGGUUAGCCAAAUUGGUCUCACAAGUAAGAUGGAGCAAGUCAGGUGUGAGUUUCACAAUCGGUACACAUUUUUCUCCAUGGGUCCUGAGGAAACCACGCAGUCCACCACCUCCCGCUGUUGAAGAAGACAAUCUUAUAAUUAUGAAAAAGUUCUACAUUUCUCUUGGCGAGGCCUCCUAUACUCAAACAAAAGAUUGGUUUUCACUAGCAAAACAAAGUCAGCAAAUGACAUCCACUUUUUCAUUACCCUGUUGUGUACCCCACAGUAAAAUUGAAUCACCAGUUAUUUCAUCUGUUUCUGAGAGUUCUAUCUUUGAUGAUGGAGUUCACCCCAGGACAAAAAAGGGCUCAUCUACAACCACUAAAUUAAUUUCUGAAUUGGAAGAAGGCUCUGUAUCUCUAAAAGACACUCCUUCACGAGCUCUUCUGAGAAUAUACCUUGAAAAGCAAUAUGAUGUGUUUGACAGAAGCCUGACAUUGCAUUUUUCAACAUGUGAAGAAUUUUUAAAUUCCUAUAUAUUCUUUAUUUUGAGAGAAGCCGUUCAGAAAAUUACUGGAGAGCCACUUAAAGAAAGCCCGAACUACAUAAACUUCAGCAAUGUAGGACAAGUGGUGGUUAAUGAUACUUUUGAAUCUCUCCUUGAACCAGUUCAUACCAUAAUGGCAAAGUCAGAAGAUGCAUUAGAAAAAAACAAUUUAAGUUCAAAGAGGGACAGCUUCGGACCUGAGAGCAGGACCGAUUGGAAUAUUUCUCACAGAACUUACAACAUUAGCAAUAGGAAGGAGUUUGAAAAUUUUAAGAAAUUUAUGAAGGGCACCUUAGGAGAGAGAUAUUGGUAUCUGUGGAUGGAUAUUGAGAGAUUAAAAGUUCUGAAGGACCCUGGAAGACAUCAAAGACAUCUUGAGAAGAUGAAAAAAUGCUACCUAGUGAGCAGUGGAGAGUGCUACCUUUCUGCAGAAAUCUUAUCAAAACUUGAUUUGUUAGAUGGAUCUCAGUGGACUGAAGAACAUUUAAAAAAUAUUCAGUCUGAGGUCAUAAAACCUUUACUUCUAUACUGGGCACCAAGAUUUUGUAUUACUCAUUUAUCCUCAACAAAAAGUGCUAGUGCGGAACUGAAAUUCUGGCAUCUCCGUCAGGAGAAACCAAGGAAGGACAUUGACCCUUUUCCACAAAUGGCAACUCUCUUGCCAUUAAGACCUAAAUCUUGCAAUCCACAGAUAUCUGAGAUCCAGAAAGAGGAAUUCAUUUCAGUACAACAUACCAAAUCUCUCAAGAAAACACCUAGAGUCAAAACAGCAGCUCAAAAACUUUGGAAGACUGAAUCUUUGUGUGUAGCUCCCUCAAGGGAUCCUGGGACCGAGAGAGGGACAAGGCACCUGUCUGAAAGCAGCAGAAUUAUUCGUUUAAUAUCUUUUACUGACAUUUCUGAAUGUCUGAAGCCCCAGCUAGACAGGAGAUACACUUACACAGAAGAACCUAAAGUUAAAACCAUGUCAGAUGUUGGUGCCUUUGGAGGAUUUCACAUGGAAAAUUUGUUGCAGUCUUUGUAUGUAGAAAGUAGAGCUGGAUUCUUCUUUACUAAAUUCUGUGAGGAUUCAGGGAACAAGUUGUGGAAGAACAGUGUGUACUUUUGGUUUGACCUACAGGCUUAUCAUCAGCUUUUCUACCAAGAAACACUUCAGCCUUUUAAAGUAUGCAAACAAGCGCAAUAUCUUUUUGCCACAUAUGUUGCUCCGUCAGCCACACUUGACAUUGGACUCCAACAGGAAAAGAAGAAAGAAAUUUGUAUGAAAAUACAUCCACCAUUUGAAGAUCUUUUUGACACAGCAGAAGAAUAUAUCCUUCUUCUCCUUCUGGAACCCUGGAUGAAGAUGGUAAAGUCAGACCAAUUUGCUUACAGAAAGGUGGAACAGGUGGAAGAAAGUAGGCAGCUAGACUCCACAUGCCUCAGAAAGCUACAGGCUUUGUAUAAAGAGUCAUUUCCCAAGAAAACUGAGGAUGCCACUGGUCAAAUUGGAACUGGUAUUUUAUCACUCUCUGAUGUCUCUAAACAAACAGAAUAUUGGAAUAAUGUUCCUGAAGAAUAUAAGCAUUUUAGUUUUAAUGAUCUGCUUAACAACAAACUGGAGUUUGAACAUUUCUGUCAGUUUCUUGGGGCGCAUUCCUCAAGCAUGGACCUUAUGUGCUGGACAGACAUUGAGCAGUUCCGAAGAAUAAAUUACAGAGAUCGAAAUCAAAGGGAGGCAAAAUCUAUAUAUAUUAAAAACAAAUACCUUAAUAAAAAAUAUUUCUUCGGACCCAACAGUCCAGCUUCUCUGAAUCAACAGAAUGAGGUAGUGGAGUUAAGUGGUGGUUGGGGAAAGAUUCUCCAUGAGCAGCUUGACGCACCUGUUUUAAUUGAAAUUCAGAAGCAUGUCUUAAAUAGGCUGGAAAAUGUGUGGUUGCCAUUGUUUCUUGCAAGUGAACAGUUUGCAGCCCGACAAAAGAUAAAGGUACAGAUGAAAGACAUAGCAGGUGACCUUUUACUACAGAAGCAUGAAGGGAAAAUCGGAGUCUGGAAGCCUGUGGAGAGUAAGUGGAUAUCUUCAUCAUGUGAAAUUAUUACUUUUCGUAAAGCAUUAUUGAAUCCAGUUACUGCAAAACAGUUUCAACAUUUUGUGACUCUAAAAGGAGAUUUAUUGGGAAAUGGGGUACUCUUUUGGCAAGAAGUACAAAAAUAUAAGGAUCUGUGCCACUCCCACUGCGAUGAGUCUGCCAUCCAGAAGAAGAUCACAACUGUAAUCAGCUGCUUCAUCAACUCCUGUAUUCCCCCAGCCUUGCAGAUCGACAUUCCAGUAGAACAGGCCCAGAAGAUUAUUGAACACAGGAAGGAGUUAGGACCAUACAUAUUUAGAGAGGCACAGAUGACAAUUUUGGGGGUUCUGUUUAAAUUUUGGCCACAAUUUUGUGAGUUUAGGAAGAAUUUGACUGAUGAAAAAAUUAUGAGUGUUUUAGAGAGAAGACAAGCAUACGAAAAGCAGAAAAAGAAAUUGUCAGUCAUAGAUGAUGAAAAAAUUGGAAAGGUUGCAAUCAAACAAUAUGCAAGUACUACAGGGUCUACUACAAAAACACCUGCUUUAACCAGUGAAUCCCUGCUAGGCCUGCAAGCAUAUGGCCGACAGGCAAAAAUUUCCAGAAUCAACUUUGAAAAUUAUUUUUCCAGCCAACCUGGUGCUACUCAAAGUACAUAGAAGCCUUAGAACAGGAAAGAAUUCUUCUGAAAAUCCAAGAACUAGAAAGAAAGUUGCUGACAGGCACACCAUCUUUUACACAUUUUUUUAAGUCUUCUGGCUCAGUUAUGUCUUUGAAGAAAAAUUUGUCUACCCAAAGCAUCCAGAAGUGGUGACAGCAUUUGUGUCUGUGUUUACAUCCUGCUGCCAGUAGGUGCAAGGAAUUCUUUAAAUCAAAUUUAACCAACAGGAGAAGCUCAAGUAACUGAUUUUGAUGGUCUGCAUGAGAGCAAGUGUAACAUCUAAAUAAAGUUUGGCUUGCUUUGCUUCCAUAUAUUAAGGUUACAGCUAUUCUGUACACAUGAUUUUAACUUUUUUUAAACCUUAGAAUAAAAUGCCUACUCUCUAAGUUAGAAGAAUCAAAAUAUUUUGCUUAUUAUAUAUCCCUAAAGAAGCAUGUUAUGCUUAUGAGGUCAUCUUUCAACAAAUAUUCUUUGAGCAUUUACUCCAAAAGUAUUUUGUUAGCAGAUAUUCAGCUGAUUAGGAGGCAUGAAUAUUCCUAGCAUUAAACUGACCCAAAGAGAAGAGGGAGGAGCCUUUCCCAUCCAUUUCAGCUGUAAAGAAAUGAUAGUAAAAUAGUGGUUCUCACACUGUAGGGCACUUACGACUCAUAGGUGACAUGAGUGAGCAAUGCAGGCUCCUGGGCCCACUGCCCAAGGGUCCAACUCAGUAGUUCUCGAGCAGGACCAGGGAAUCACAUCCUUCACGGACACCCAGGGGAUACUGAAGCAGGAGAUGCAGGAACCACUCUGAGAUAAACUGUUAGGGUAGUAAGAAAAGUGCACGAGAGGUCAAAGCCCUCUCUUGUGCCACAAAGGGUACAUUUACAGCAAAGAGAACCUAGACUCAGGCCUUGCUACACUCAAUCCUGGAGGGAAAGGGAAAUCUGUAAGGAAUGACCAUGGAAUCAUCCAUGGGGCUCAUGAUUCAGGAGCUGUGAGGACUAAGACUCAAACUACCAGCUCGGACAACAGUCUUACACCAUCCCAGAAGAUGUUUUCAGAGUUGAAACUGCAUUCCAAAUUCUCUAAGGAGUUAGAUGCUUUAAAUGGGAAAGUCUCAAGAGACAUACUUCAAAGAUCAUCUUUCCCCCUAAAAUAGUGGUUUUUGAACACUUGCAAUUUUAAAAAUCACUGAAACCCUGUGGUUUUUGGUGCCUCCACAGUAUCCCUAAACUUCAGUGGUCAUGAAUUUUCUUUUCUCCCACUCUUGUUCUCCCUUCUCUGGUUUUAACUCAGUAGUCCAUGUGGUUCUAUUUCUCUCCUCUCUUACAUAUCAAUUAUAUUUCUUUUUCAGAUUUUCUUACUGA